GUAGGGAAUAUUGGGCAAUGGUCGGAAGACUGACCCAGCCAUGCCGCGUGCAGGAAGACGGCCCUCUGGGUUGUAAACUGCUUUUAUCUGGGAAGAAAAAGGCCAUGUGUGGCAAAUUGCCGGUACCAGAUGAAUAAGCACCGGCUAACUCCGUGCCAGCAGCCGCGGUAAUACGGAGGGUGCGAGCGUUUUCCGGAUUUAUUGGGUUUAAAGGGUGCGUAGGCGGCUGAUUAAGUCAGCGGUGAAAGACUUCGGCUUAACCGGAGCAGUGCCGUUGAUACUGGUUGGCUUGAGUGUCGGAGGGGUACAUGGAAUUGAUGGUGUAGCGGUGAAAUACAUAGAUACCAUCAGGAACACCGAUAGCGAAGGCAUUGUACUGGCCGACAACUGACGCUGAUGCACGAAAGUGUGGGGAUCGAACAGGAUUAGAAACCCUUGUAGUCC
rnacentral:rRNA from 1 species